GACGAACGCUGGCGGCGUGCUUAACACAUGCAAGUCGAACGGUAAGGCCCUUCGGGGUACACGAGUGGCGAACGGGUGAGUAACCCGUGGGUGAUCUGCCCUGCACUUCGGGGUAAGCCUGGGAAACUGGGUCUAAUACCGGAUAGGACUCCUGGCUUCAUGGUUGGGGGUGGAAAGCUUUUGCGGUGUGGGAUGGGCCCGCGGCCUAUCAGCUUGUUGGUGGGGUAAUGGCCUACCAAGGCGACGACGGGUAGCCGGCCUGAGAGGGUGACCGGUCACACUGGGACUGAGAUACGGCCCAGACUCCUACGGGAGGCAGCAGUGGGGAAUAUUGCACAAUGGGCGCAAGCCUGAUGCAGCGACGCCGCGUGAGGGAUGACGGCCUUCGGGUUGUAAACCUCUUUCAGCUAUGACGAAGCGCAAGUGACGGUAGUAGCAGAAGAAGGACCGGCCAACUACGUGCCAGCCGCCGCAGUAA
rnacentral:rRNA from 1 species